rnacentral:rRNA from 1 species
UGCAAGUCGAACGUGAAAGCACUUCGGUGUGAGUAGAGUGGCGGACGGGUGAGUAACGCGUGGGAAUCUACCCAGUAGUGGGGGACAACUACCGGAAACGGUAGCUAAUACCGCAUACGCCCUAUGGGGGAAAGGCUUCGGCCGCUAUUGGAUGAGCCCGCGUCAGAUUAGCUAGUUGGUAGGGUAAAGGCCUACCAAGGCAACGAUCUGUAGCUGGUCUGAGAGGACGAACAGCCACACUGGGACUGAGACACGGCCCAGACUCCUACGGGAGGCAGCAGUGGGGAAUAUUGGACAAUGGGCGAAAGCCUGAUCCAGCAAUGCCGCGUGUGUGAAGAAGGCCUGCGGGUUGUAAAGCACUUUCAGUUGGGAAGAUGAUGACGUUACCAACAGAAGAAGCACCGGCUAAAUCCGUGCCAGCAGCCGCGGUAAUACGGAUGGUGCGAGCGUUAAUCGGAAUUACUGGGCGUAAAGCGCGCGUAGGCGGCUAAGUCAGUCAGAAGUGAAAGCCCCGGGCUCAACCUGGGAAUUGCUUUUGAUACUGCUUAGCUAGAGUUUGGUAGAGGAUAGUGGAAUUCCAGGUGUAGCGGUGAAAUGCGUAGAUAUCUGGAGGAACAUCAGUGGCGAAGGCGACUGUCUGGACCAAAACUGACGCUGAGGUGCGAAAGCGUGGGUAGCAAACAGGAUUAGAUACCCUGGUAGUCCACGCCGUAAACGAUGUCAACUAGCCGUCGGGUCUAUUUACAGACUUGGUGGCGAAGCUAACGCGAUAAGUUGACCGCCUGGGGAGUACGGCCGCAAGGUUAAAACUCAAAGGAAUUGACGGGGGCCCGCACAAGCGG